GACGGAGGAGGCAAGCGUUAUCCGGAAUUAUUGGGCGUAAAGCGUGCGUAGGUGGGUUGACAAGUCUGGGGUUAAAGCCCGGGGCUUAACUGCGGAUAGGCCUUGGAAACUGUAAGACUUGAGUAUGGUAGUGGUUGCUAGAAUUCUAGGUGUAGCGGUGAAAUGCGUAGAUAUAGGGAAGAAUACCAGAGGCGAAGGCGGGUAACUGGGCAAUGACUGACUCUGAGGGUCGAAAGCGAGGGGAGCGAAUGGG
rnacentral:rRNA from 1 species